GGCCUCUUCCUAGUUACCACAGGCUGUGUUCUUAUACUGACUAUAUAGAAAGAGGAGGCAAAAUAACCCUAUCCAAUGUAUGCCUCAGCCUAGGCCACUGUUCCUGGUCUGUAUUUUGAAAGAGGAAACAUAG
ensembl:snoRNA